rnacentral:rRNA from 1 species
CAAAAGGGCGUUUAGUGGAUGCCUUGGCAUGUAGAGGCGAUGAAGGACGUAGCACGCUGCGAUAAGUCUCGGGGAGUUGCGAGCAGACUUUGAUCCGAGAAUUUCCGAAUGGGGAAACCCACCUUUACGGACCCUGGCGGUCGUUCGGCUGGUUAGCCGGCCGACCGAUCACCAGAGUUCGUGUGAGGUAUCUAAACCUGAAUACAUAGGGUUUAGAAGCAAACCCGGGGAACUGAAACAUCUAAGUACCCGGAGGAAAGGACAUCAAUUGAGACCCGUUAGUAGUGGCGAGCGAACGCGGACCAGGCCAGUGCUCUUAUCAAUCGAACUGGAACCGUCUGGAAAGUCGGGCCGCAGUGGGUGACAGCCCCGUACAGGUAGGAAAGAUAAGAGACUCGAGUAGGGCGGGACACGUGAAAUCCUGUCUGAACAUGGGGGGACCAUCCUCCAAGCCUAAGUACUCCUACAUGACCGAUAGUGAACCAGUACCGUGAGGGAAAGGUGAAAAGCACCCCGACGAGGGGAGUGAAACAGACCCUGAAACUGGACGCCUACAAGCAGUCGGAGGGCGCAAGCCUGACGGCGUACCUUUUGUAUAAUGGGUCAGCGACUUCGUCUCUCGAGCAAGCUUAAGCCGAUAGGUGUAGGCGCAGCGAAAGCGAGUCUUAAUAGGGCGACUGAGUUCGAGGGAUGAGACCCGAAGCCGGGUGAUCUAGCCAUGAGCAGGUUGAAGGUGCGGUAACACGCACUGGAGGACCGAACCCACGUCUGUUGAAAAAGACGGGGAUGACUUGUGGCUAGGGGUGAAAGGCCAAUCAAACCCGGAAAUAGCUGGUUCUCCGCGAAAUCUAUUUAGGUAGAGCGUCUCGUGAAUACCCAUGGGGGUAGAGCACUGGAUGGGCUAGGGGGUCCCAACGACUUACCAAACCUAACCAAACUCCGAAUACCAUGGAGUAAUGCGAGGCAGACACACUGCGGGUGCUAAGGUCCGUAGUGAAGAGGGAAACAGCCCUGACCGCCAGCUAAGGUCCCUAAGUUAUCACUAAGUGGGAAACGAUGUGGGAGUGCUUAGACAACCAGGAGGUUGGCUUAGAAGCAGCCAUCCUUUAAAGAAAGCGUAACAGCUCACUGGUCAAGCGCUCCUGCGCGGAAAAUGUAACGGGGCUUAAGUGAUACACCGAAGCUGCGGAUCUGAUCUUUGAUCGAGUGGUAGCGGAGCGUUCCGUAGGCCGAUGAAGGUGGACCCGCGAGGGCCGCUGGAGGUAUCGGAAGUGAGAAUGCUGACAUGAGUAGCGAUAAAGAGUGUGAGAGACACUCUCGCCGAAAGUCCAAGGGUUCCUGCGCAAUGCUAAUCAGCGCAGGGUUAGUCGGCCCCUAAGGCGAGGCAGAAAUGCGUAGUCGAUGGGAAGCAGGUUAAUAUUCCUGUACCAGUGGGUAGUGACGGAUCUCGUGUGUCGUCAGUCCUUAUCGGAUUGAACUGGCGGCGAAGAGGUCCCUGGAAAUAGCUCCCACGUGAGACCGUACCCCAAACCGACACAGGUGGACUGGUAGAGCAUACCAAGGCGCUUGAGAGAACUAUGCUGAAGGAACUCGGCAAAUUGCUCCCGUAAGUUCGCGAGAAGGGAGCCUCUGCAUUGGGCAACCAGUGUGGAGGGGCACAGACCAGGGGGUGGCGACUGUUUACUAAAAACACAGGGCUCUGCGAAGUCGCAAGACGACGUAUAGGGUCUGACGCCUGCCCGGUGCCGGAAGGUUAAAAGGAGGAGUGAGAGCUCCGAAUUGAAGCCCCGGUAAACGGCGGCCGUAACUAUAACGGUCCUAAGGUAGCGAAAUUCCUUGUCGGGUAAGUUCCGACCUGCACGAAUGGCGUAACGACUUCCCCGCUGUCUCCAGCAUAGACUCAGCGAAAUUGAAUUCUCCGUGAAGAUGCGGAGUUCCCGCGGUCAGACGGAAAGACCCCGUGCACCUUUACUACAGCUUGACAGUGGUAUUAGCGAUUAUUUGUGUAGGAUAGGCGGGAGUCUAUGAAACCAGGGCGCCAGCUCUGGUGGAGACAUCCUUGAAAUACCGCCCUGAUAAUUGUUGGUAUCUAACCGCGGCCCAUGAACCUGGGUCCGGGACCCUGUCUGGUGGGUAGUUUGACUGGGGCGGUCGCCUCCCAAAGAGUAACGGAGGCGCGCGAUGGUGGGCUCAGAGCGGUCGGAAAUCGCUCGUUGAGUGCAAUGGCAUAAGCCCGCCUGACUGUGAGACUGACAGGUCGAGCAGAGUCGAAAGACGGCCAUAGUGAUCCGGUGGUCCCGCAUGGAAGGGCCAUCGCUCAACGGAUAAAAGGUACGCCGGGGAUAACAGGCUGAUGAUGCCCAAGAGUCCAUAUCGACGGCAUUGUUUGGCACCUCGAUGUCGGCUCAUCGCAUCCUGGGGCUGGAGCAGGUCCCAAGGGUUUGGCUGUUCGCCAAUUAAAGCGGUACGUGAGCUGGGUUUAGAACGUCGUGAGACAGUUCGGUCCCUAUCUGCCGUGGGUGUCGGAAAAUUGAGAGGAGCUGCCCCUAGUACGAGAGGACCGGGGUGGACGUAUCUCUGGUGGACCUGUUGUUGCGCCAGCAGCAUAGCAGGGUAGCUAUAUACGGAAGGGAUAACCGCUGAAUGCAUCUAAGCGGGAAGCCCCCCUCAAAACCAGUUUUCCCUUGAGAGUCGUGGAAGACCACCACGUUGAUAGGCCAGAUGUGGAAGCGUGGCGACACGUGAAGCUGACUGGUACUAAUUACUCGAUUGUCUUGAUCUU